GGAUGACUGUGUCCUUUGCCUUACAGAAGCUUCUCAGUCUCUGCAGGUUGUAUUUAUUAAUUGCUGAUCUCAGUGUCUGUGCUACUGGUGUUCAAGAAGUCCUAUCCUGUACCAAAGAACCAGUCUUCAGUCAAGGGUAUAUGAGUAGCUGUGCUCCUCUGUUAGAACCUACAAAGAAGCUCUCAUGGCUUUCUUCUUUUAACCCUUUUAUUUUGUUGAGUCCAUUGGCAGUGCUUUCCAUAAUCAGAGGUAUUUCCCCCAGUUAAUCUAUGGAAAUAUAUCUCAUGAU
rnacentral:snRNA from 1 species